rnacentral:misc_RNA from 1 species
CAAGUUCAGCCCCAAGAGAUUUCAAAGACUGUUUCAAGUGAAUCAGAGAUUGCUUCAGCCACCAUCUUGAAACUCUACCGGGAUAAAAUUGCCCUUCUUCCUUCGGACACCAAAUAAACACCGGUAAAACACUUCCAUUUCUAGCAGCAGCAGCUAAAGCUGGAUUAUCCUCAAUCCUCAAAUCCCUCCUAAACCACACAAUUGUCUUGUAAUUGCUCUCCAUUUCCAACUAGUCAGUUUCCACAGAUCCCACAAAAUGGACAAAACCAAACAACCCCCAACAAAUACUUCACUUCAACUCUUCACUCCAAAUCUCAAAAUAUGAUAAAAAUUCAAUCUUUGCUCAAAACUUAGUCCAAAUUCUCAUCAUAUUCCCAAAAAAACUAGCAUACUUAAGUUUAAAAUCCUAUCUUAUCAAACCCCAACUAAAACCAACCAAUACUAAUACUCAAGAAACCAAGAUUCUCACAAAGUUGGACAAAUCCAAACAAUCCCCAAGAAACAACUUCACUUCAGCUCACCCCAAAGCUCAAAACAUCAUAAAAAUCCAAUCUUUACUCAAAAUUCAGUCCAACUUUUCAUCAUAUCCCCAAGAAAACUAGCAUACUUAGUUAAAAAUCAUAUUUUGCCAAAAACCAAGAUCAAUUUCACAAAAAAUUUUCAAACCCCAACAAAUAUCUUCACUCCAAAUCUCAUAACAUCAUAAAAAUCCAAUCUUUACUCAAAAUUCAGUCCAACUUUUCAUCAUAUCCCCAAGAAAACUAGCAUACUUAGUUAAAAAUCAUAUUUUGCCAAAAACCAAGAUCAAUUUCACAAAAAAUUUUCAAACCCCAACAAAUAUCUUCACUCCAAAUCUCAU